UCGAACGGAUCCUUCGGGAUUAGUGGCGGACGGGUGAGUAACACGUGGGAACGUGCCCUUUGGUUCGGAACAACUCAGGGAAACUUGAGCUAAUACCGGAUGUGCCUUCGGGGAAAGAUUUAUCGCUAUUGGAGCGGCCCGCGUCUGAUUAGCUAGUUGGUGGGGUAAAGGCCCACCAAGGCGACGAUCAGUAGCUGGUCUGAGAGGAUGAUCAGCCACAUUGGGACUGAGACACGGCCCAA
rnacentral:rRNA from 1 species